GAUGAACGCUGGCGGCGUGCCUAAUACAUGCAAGUCGAGCGAACAGACGAGAAGCUUGCUCCUCUGACGUUAGCGGCGGACGGGUGAGUAACACGUGGAUAACCUACCUAUAAGACUGGGAUAACUUCGGGAAACCGGAGCUAAUACCGGAUAAUAUAUUGAACCGCAUGGUUCAAUAGUGAAAGACGGUUUUGCUGUCACUUAUAGAUGGAUCCGCGCUGCAUUAGCUAGUUGGUAAGGUAACGGCUUACCAAGGCAACGAUGCGUAGCCGACCUGAGAGGGUGAUCGGCCACACUGGAACUGAGACACGGUCCAGACUCCUACGGGAGGCAGCAGUAGGGAAUCUUCCGCAAAGGGCGAAAGCCUGACGGAGCAACGCCGCGUGAGUGAUGAAGGUCUUCGGAUCGUAAAACUCUGUUAUUAGGGAAGAACAUAUGUGUAAGUAACUGUGCACGUCUUGACGGUACCUAAUCAGAAAGCCACGGCUAACUACGUG
rnacentral:rRNA from 1 species